GAUGAACGCUGGCGGCGUGCCUAACACAUGCAAGUCGAGCGAGACAGUUAAGAAUGAUCCUUCGGGUGAAUGAUUAACUAGACAGCGGCGGACGGGUGAGUAACGCGUGGGUAACCUGCCUUAUACUGGGGGAUAACGUUUUGAAAAGAACGCUAAUACCGCAUAAGCGCACAGCAUCGCAUGAUGCAGUGUGAAAAACUCCGGUGGUAUAAGAUGGACCCGCGUCUGAUUAGCUAGUUGGUGAGAUAAAAGCUCACCAAGGCGACGAUCAGUAGCCGACCUGAGAGGGUGAUCGGCCACAUUGGGACUGAGACACGGCCCAA
rnacentral:rRNA from 1 species